AUGAACGCUAGCUACAGGCUUAACACAUGCAAGUCGAGGGGCAGCAUGGUCUUAGCUUGCUAAGGCCGAUGGCGACCAGCGCACGGGUGAGUAACACGUAUCCAACCUGCCGUCUACUCUUGGACAGCCUUCUGAAAGGAAGAUUAAUACAAGAUGGCAUCAUGAGUCCACAUGUUCACAUGAUUAAAGGUAUUCCGGUAGACGAUGGGGAUGCGUUCCAUUAGAUAGUAGGCGGGGUAACGGCCCACCUAGUCUUCGAUGGAUAGGGGUUCUGAGAGGAAGGUCCCCCACAUUGGAACUGAGACACGGUCCAAACUCCUACGGGAGGCAGCAGUGAGGAAUAUUGGUCAAUGGGCGAGAGCCUGAACCAGCCAAGUAGCGUGAAGGAUGACUGCCCUAUGGGUUGUAAACUUCUUUUAUAAAGGAAUAAAGUCGGGUAUGGAUACCCGUUUGCAUGUACUUUAUGAAUAAGGAUCGGCUAACUCCGUGCCAGCAGCCGCGGUAAUACGGAGGAUCCGAGCGUUAUCCGGAUUUAUUGGGUUUAAAGGGAGCGUAGAUGGAUGUUUAAGUCAGUUGUGAAAGUUUGCGGCUCAACCGUAAAAUUGCAGUUGAUACUGGAUAUCUUGAGUGCAGUUGAGGCAGGCGGAAUUCGUGGUGUAGCGGUGAAAUGCUUAGAUAUCACGAAGAACUCCGAUUGCGAAGGCAGCCUGCUAAGCUGCAACUGACAUUGAGGCUCGAAAGUGUGGGUAUCAAACAGGAUUAGAUACCCUGGUAGUCCACACGGUAAACGAUGAAUACUCGCUGUUUGCGAUAUACAGCAAGCGGCCAAGCGAAAGCGUUAAGUAUUCCACCUGGGGAGUACGCCGGCAACGGUGAAACUCAAAGGAAUUGACGGGGGCCCGCACAAGCGGAGGAACAUGUGGUUUAAUUCGAUGAUACGCGAGGAACCUUACCCGGGCUUAAAUUGCAGAUGAAUUACGGUGAAAGCCGUAAGCCGCAAGGCAUCUGUGAAGGUGCUGCAUGGUUGUCGUCAGCUCGUGCCGUGAGGUGUCGGCUUAAGUGCCAUAACGAGCGCAACCCUUGUUGUCAGUUACUAACAGGUUCCGCUGAGGACUCUGACAAGACUGCCAUCGUAAGAUGUGAGGAAGGUGGGGAUGACGUCAAAUCAGCACGGCCCUUACGUCCGGGGCUACACACGUGUUACAAUGGGGGGUACAGAGGGCCGCUACCACGCGAGUGGAUGCCAAUCCCAAAAACCUCUCUCAGUUCGGACUGGAGUCUGCAACCCGACUCCACGAAGCUGGAUUCGCUAGUAAUCGCGCAUCAGCCACGGCGCGGUGAAUACGUUCCCGGGCCUUGUACACACCGCCCGUCAAGCCAUGGGAGCCGGGGGUACCUGAAGUGCGUAACCGCGAGGAGCGCCCUAGGGUAAAACUGGUGACUGGGGCU
rnacentral:rRNA from 1 species